CAAUAGCAUAUAUUAACGUUGUUGCAGUUGAAAAGCUCGUAGUUGAACUUUUGGUAGGAGCGACCUGGCCUUGGGCGCAUGCCCUUGUUUGCCGUGUGUCGUAUCUGGCCAUCCUUUUCUUCUUUUUGGAAGGAAUCUUUUACUGUGAGUAAACUGGAGUGCUCAAAACAAGACGUUUGUUUGGUACAUUAAAGCAUGGAAUAAUAGGAUAGGACCUGGUUACUAUUUUGUUGGUUUGCAUAGCUAGGUAAUGAUUAACAGGGACAGUUGGGGGUAUUCGUAUUUAAUUGUCAGAGGUGAAAUUCUUGGAUUUAUGAAAGACGAACGACUGCGAAAGCAUUUACCAAGGAUGUUUUCAUUAA
rnacentral:rRNA from 1 species